GAAGCUCCCAAGGGUAUGGCUGUUCGCCAUUUAAAGCGGUACGCGAGCUGGGUUCAGAACGUCGUGAGACAGUUUGGCCUCUAUCUGCCGUAGUCGUAGGAAAAUUGAGAAGCUCUGCUCCUAGUACGAGAGGACCGGAGUGGACAAACCUCUGGUGUACCAGUUGUCGUGUCAACGGCAUUGCUGGGUAGCUACGUUUGGUUGUGAUAACCGCUGAAAGCAUCUAAGCGGGAAGCCAUCUUCAAGAUUAUUUUCCCUAUAGGUCCGAAGGAGACUACUUCGUUGAUAGGCAUCAAGUGUACGCACAGCAAUGUGUUAGCUGAGAUGUACUAAUAGACCAAUCGACUUUUUAUC
rnacentral:rRNA from 1 species